rnacentral:rRNA from 1 species
UACGAAGGGUGCAAGCGUUACUCGGAAUUACUGGGCGUAAAGCGUGCGUAGGUGGUUCGUUAAGUCUGAUGUGAAAGCCCUGGGCUCAACCUGGGAAUGGCAUUGGAAACUGUCGACCUAGAGUGCGGUAGAGGGUAGUGGAAUUCCCGGUGUAGCAGUGAAAUGCGUAGAGAUCGGGAGGAACAUCCGUGGCGAAGGCGACUACCUGGACCAGCACUGACACUGAGGCACGAAAGCGUGGGGAGCAAACAGG